CCCGCUUAGUUCCCGGAUAAAAGCAGCCCGGCCGCACCUGCCUUGCCAGUGCAAACUCUGCAAGACUCCCAACGCCAUCAGCCCUAGUCUGAUUGCAGUCGCCUGUUCACAGCCCCGAAUCAUUCACAGCGCCAAUUAGCCCGGGCUGGGUCCUCCGGCAGAGCGGGGGCGAGCGCGCGGGAGUCCAUUUCCAGCGCCCUGACGCCAGCUGAGUCCCGCGCCCGGUAACGCGGGCUUUCAAGGGCAAGGCCGCCGCCGCGUCCCUCCGUGUCAGCGCAUUUCCCUUUCUUCCCCGCUUCAAGAACAACUGAAGUGUGGGUAGGAGAGCCAUUUAGUCCCAACUAAAGACGAAAAUGUUUUUUCCUUCUGAUAAUGUUCCCUGUUCCGUCACUCGGUAUUAUGCUCCAUAAUGUGCCGCGUGCAGCCAUUUUGUCAUCGCUUUGGGUCAUCCUUGCUCACAAUUGGUUAUUUACUCAGGGGCUUUUGAAAUUAUUGAGUUGACACAUCUGUCAGACGGCAAAAGCAGAAAUGCUAAAAGGUCACUUGGAGAGAAACCAGCUGCUCCAGACAAACCUUUCUGCCUCCAAAUAGCACAAUCAUUACAGCCUGGCAGAUGGGGCCUUCGCUUUCACUUCAGACGCUCCCCUUGCCUUCAGGAAACCAGUUUCCUCACGGAUAUGAGCUACCCAACGCUUGCCACAAACUUUCCUGUUAACAGAUUCGUUUUGACAGUGAAAGCAACAGCCCACAAUUGCCUGCAUUUUCUUUCCUCUUCAAAACCACUUCUGCUCCAAAGACCAUGAACCUGAACUGAAGAAACGACUCCUUCCUGCUGGUGUGAGAUAAUUCAGUCUCCAUGAUGUCUUAAUCCUGGGCCUCCCUUAAUUGACUUCUAACUGUGCUGAACUGUGGCUGCUAGGAGUUGCAAUGUGGAUCGCAAUUUACAAGGAAGAGAAAAAGACCGGUCUCUGUUUGGAAAUUACAAACAUAGAAGAACUUAGAAACAAUGGGUUUCUAGAUUGGGUGGAAGGACUGGCUUGGGAUCCUGAGAGAGCAAGAAAAGUUUACCGGGAGCUUCAGAAAAAGUUAUUCAUCAUUUUUGGAGUGGAUAUUCAGAAGUGACUUCCCUCUUUUGCUCUGGCAUUGAUGCAUUCACAUCAAUGGUGAAUUCAGACUUCAGAAGAACUGACCCAAGGACAAAGGUCCACCCAGGCCAUGGAAGAGGCUCCUCAACCGUUUGGGUGCCUGGCUACUUCAAGAGUUGAGCUAAUCACAGGGAAGAUUCAGUCUCAGUUCAGCUGCCUCAUUUGAUCAGCUCAAGACUGAGUCCAACAAAAGUGGUCUGUCUAAUGAAACUCAUUUUCAUUUUUUCUCAUUAGUCUAUACACGAUUGAGACUGUAGAACGACAAAAGAAUAAAAAGAAGAAUGACAAUUAAAAAUCAUUUUCUCUGGCCCUUGAUUUUUGCCUUCUUUUUUUUAAAUGUAGUUACGUGCUCAUUUUUUGUUUCUUUUUUAUUCUCUGCUCUUCUUUUCUAUUGAUUUUCCCAUUUAUGAAGGGGGAAUUAGUAAAUCCAUGGUCUGAGUGCUGAGAUGUUCUGAUAGGCCUUCAAGUUUUCAGCUGUACUCUGAAUCAGAAUAAUAUACUCCAUCAAGGAGACUGACAUUGGCACCACCUUCCCAGAAAUCCAGGAGCGCCUUUGCAUGAGGAAAAGCAGAAGGGAGUAAAGUCAUGAAACAUUGUGUGUGUGUUUGUAUAAAACUGUAUAUUUUUGCUCACAUAUAAUAACUAUAUAUUUCUGCUAAUUUUUCCUUUUAAAGGCUAUUAAGUUACUUAAAAUCCAUUGCCUAAUAAAACUGCAAUUCACCUUUGUAAUUCACUCAUUUGUUUGCUGUCACAGGGAAGAUAGAAAUUGAGCACGUUUUCGGCUGGGUGUGGUGGCUCACGCCUGUAAUCCUAGCACUUGGGGAGGCCGAGGUGGGCGGAUCACGAGGUCAGGAGAUCGAGACCAUCCUGGCUAACAUGGUGAAACCUCGUCUCCACUA
rnacentral:lncRNA from 1 species